UGGGGAAUAUUGGACAAUGGGCGCAAGCCUGAUCCAGCAAUGCCGCGUGUGUGAAGAAGGCCUGCGGGUUGUAAAGCACUUUCAGCGGGGAAGAAAAGCCUGGGGCCAAUACCCCCGGGUCUUGACGUUACUCGCAGAAGAAGCACCGGCUAACUCCGUGCCAGCAGCCGCGGUAAUACGGAGGGUGCAAGCGUUAAUCGGAAUCACUGGGCGUAAAGCGCGCGUAGGCGGCUUGUUAAGUCAGAUGUGAAAGCCCCGGGCUCAACCUGGGAACUGCAUUUGAUACUGGCAAGCUCGAGUCCGAGAGAGGGGGGUGGAAUUCCAGGUGUAGCGGUGAAAUGCGUAGAUAUCUGGAGGAACACCGGUGGCGAAGGCGGCCCCCUGGCUCGAGACUGACGCUGAGGUGCGAAAGCGUGGGGAGCAAACA
rnacentral:rRNA from 1 species